UCUGCUACCUGAAACAUACUGUCAGCCUUCAAAUUGUUAUUAAAAGGAUCAACCUGUUCCUUUCAGAAAUGAUUUGUGCAUCUGUGAAGCCUGUAACAUCGUUGUGUCUUCUACGAGGAAAAGAAAACCCUACUUAAAUUAAAUGGCUUUGCUACAAAGAGGAUCUGGCAGUGGUCAGCUUUGUAUUAUUAACAUUUCCCAGGAGUGAUGUUCCAUAGUGGCAGGCUGAUGUAAUUACCAGAAGUGAAGUUGUAAGUCCUAUUGAAAAGACCAAGAGAUUUGCUAGUGACUUCAAAGAGGUAAAGAUUUGUGUGGAUUUGCAUGGGGAUAGAAAAUGCAAUGGGUUAGAAAAUCAGGUCCUCCAGUGUCUUUAAUCUUUUGCGGGCUUUAUCCAGACAUUUUGGUCUACAGGGGAUUUAAAUUAAGUUGCAAAAGAGACUUCCUAAACUUUCAAUCCAAAUGCUAUAUUAUGUGGGUUUUACACUAUUAGCUUAAAAUAUUGACCUUUUCUGAGCUUUUUGGAUUAAUGGCUUGUGGACAACUAAUGCUAGCUUAAUGUUGGCAAGGAAUUUACUUUCAUGAUGUGGAGGUAGUCAAUGAACUAAUAGUAAUUUGCCUUUAUCCAGAAAAUUCACAUAUAUACUAAAAGUUGAAAUAAGACCUUGGGAUGAACCAGUAAAUUCUCAAAAAUGACAAGACAGGAUAAAGUACACUGGAAAAGACAUUUGAGAGAAUUUGUAGUAAAAAAUAUGUUACAGAUAGUUACUGUGAAAUUGUACGAUCAGAUGAUUAGAUUCUUUUUGGUCCUAUUUUUUUAUUAAAAAUAAUGGUUCUAAAGUAAUUGUGCAGGUUUGUUCAGAAAUACUUACAACUGAUGUGUAAAUAAUCAGUUACCUGUGCCAGGUUUUGUGAUUAUUUUUUUAAACAGAGGUCACUGUAAAAUGUGAAAGAACAGCUAAGUCAGGUAAAAAAAAUCGUACUUGUGAUUUAACAUAAACUGGUAUCCAUAUGGAUAUGGAGCAACAAGACUCCCACUUUCAGGCUGCAUUCUGUGAAGAGAUGUCCCAGAGGAUUUAGUGGUCUGAGAAGCCUCCCUGUUGUUUUACAGCUAAGAUAUUAUACCAGUCAAAGGUGUUGACACAGAAGACUGUGGUUGGGCAUACAGUACAUACCAUUCCCCUGGGUUAACUUACUCAUCAACCCUGGCUGGGUGAGAAAGAGCAGGAGAAGAAAAAUAUGGCAGAUGGCACAGGAGUCUUGGGAAGACUGUCUCCAUUCUUUGCUUGUUUCAACACAAAACUGCCUCUGAGAUGAGGAGUGCCUUGUGGGAAUUCUUUUAGCCAACAUGGGAGAGCUGCCUUAUAAGCUGGAACUGGUCUCACGGAGAAAUGCCUCCUGCUGUGCAGUGUGAAGAUCUCCAGCUGCUGUUCUACAGCCAAGCAACAGAGAAUACGUGGAGAGUUACAGAACCAUGACCCAAGAAGAGUCUUUGGCCAGUGCUUUGUUGCAAGUACUAGUUGCUAGGUGCUGUUUUGAAAGGAACAGUUUAGUAGCUUUAGUAUAUAGCAUGAAGGAAUCUGCAGCUGAUUCACAGAAACAUCAUUUCAAGAUACACAGAUUCUCCCUUGUCUUGGUCCAUUUUAUUGUACUUGCCAACAUGCAAAAUAACAUCAGCUGUUAAUGAGGACACACUAGUUCCACUGAAGGUAAUAAAUGGGGAAGCUUGGUUCUGCUGUAUUUUCCCCAUUUUACCUUCACUCCCCUGACUGUAGAUCCCUCUGUCCUUCUCUCAGUUCAGGACAGAGCAAGAAUAGUUGCAUUUCACUACAGUGAGAGCCAUGCUCUGCAGCAGCUGUAGCAAGAUGUGCCUUGGAGUAAACUUAGAACAGCCUAUGCACUGUUUCUCUAACAGCUUUAGUCUAUAUGGGUAGAUAUACUGCAUCCAUGAUUCUCCUCUGUCAAGAGCAACAGCAUAUAGAUGAUGUAGCAGUCCGUUUUGCCUAUAUACUCCAUCUUCUUCAUCAAAAUGUUCAGACCUGAGCCUGGAACUAAGUAUCCAUAUAGUCAAGUCAGCUAUCUCCCACUGGGCUAUUUCCUGGCAUGUGCACUAGAAAUGGCUUGUGGUGAAGAGGAAGUCCACUUUUCCAGAGGAAAAUGACUGGAGAAGACAACAGGCUGAUGUGAUUUAGUCUUGUUCACUGGCUGAAGAGAGAUCUCCCUUCAGAUCACUGUCUGAAGGGAGAAAUUUAGUUAGUAGUGUACACAGCCACAGGAACCAAGCGUCUUUCUGAGGACUACACUUGUGUUAACACGUAUUUGCCAUAUGCUGUAGAGCUUUGCAUAAUAGAUAUGGUACUGGACAAAACCUGUGGCCAGCAACCUCACCGUUAACAAGCAGUAGACUACCACACAGUGAUUAUUGGAAGGCAGAUUCUGUGACUGGAAAAAAAUUCCAUGAAUAUUAAAUAAGAAAAUAUUCUAGUCUGCUAUUUUUAAUUGCUCCAACUGAGAGAUGCAUUAAAGUUUACUUCAACUUAGAAUCUAAAUUUUGAAUCUGCAUUAAGAAAUAAAGACGUUCUCAAAUAUAUACAUGUAUGGAUAGCAAAGAAACCUGUCUUGAAAGAAUCUCCCAGGUGUGAACUCAACCCUACUGUCUGCCAUUCCCAGGAAAUGAAAGUCAUCCCAUCUCAACCAAGCUCCAAAGCACAGUGACACAACAGCUUAGAGAGGGGAUUUACACAAGGAAUUAUACUGGACAAAUGACCAGCCUGUGAUCACCUCUGUCUACACCAUAUUUACUAUAAAAUGAGUUUUAAUUGCUCUUUCACCUCUGAGUAAGUGUAGCACACACAGCUGAGUGUGUGCAUGCUAACAAAUUGACUUCCAGCAUCCACCAUGAACUCCAUGGGUUGCAAAAAAACAUUGGGAACUACAUUGCAGAUCUGCUAGAAGAACCCAGAAAAAUGUUCUAUGAUGUUUAAUUCACCAUACCAGACUCCCAGAUGAGCUUGUAUCUGACAUGCUAUCAGAUAUUAAAUCAGUUUACCAAGCAGAACUUUUAGGACAAAUGAAAUAAAACACUUUUUUUUUUUUUCCCUCACACAAACAUAAUGAAUCUCUAGAGCUCCUUGCUGUUCCCGAAUUUGUGACAGCCAAAAGUAUAAAGUAGUUCACAAAAAAUAAAGUAUUGGAAGAUGCAUCCUCUUGUUUAACCAUAAACUGAAUUUGCUGAAGUUAGAAGCAUCCCACUUUAGGAGGCAUGUAGGUGUCUGUUUGUCUGCUUCUAAACUCUUUCACUGAGCAUUUGCUGCUGAUCACAUGACUAGAAGGACUAACUGCAUGACACAAGUUUAUGUUUGUAUUUUAUAGUCACCUUCCAGGUAAAAUACAACCCCGAAUGGAUUGUGACUGUUUCUUGUUAUUGCUCUCAUUACUGGCCUUGAGGAUGAUCUGUGUGUGAAGCCAACAGAACUGCGGUGGUAUGUAGGGAUGCCCUCUGGUCAUGUUGGGGUUUAAGCCAAAUAUCAACUUGAGCGAUCAUGUUCUACUGGUAUAUACCAAGUUUCCCCUAGAAAGUUUGACUGGAAAAAGCACUUCACGCUAUUAAGCAGACCUUACUGCAGCAGAUUAGCCAACAUGUCCUGUUUAGAAUAAGCCACCAACUGUAACGAUAGUCAGCCCAGAGAACACAUAUAAUCUGUGUUAUUUUGGAAGAGGCAUGGAAAAAGCCAAAAAAACAGACAGUUAUUAUGAUAUGCAUAUGACAAAAGGCUCACAUUCAAGUUCAAGCUGUUGCAGCUAAAAUUUUUUUCUCCCACUGCUCUGAGGGUACCUAAGUGCCAUUCUGGAUUCAGGUCUCAAAGUGGAACUUGAUCCGAGUGAGAGCAGGGAGGUGGAGGUGAGCAGGAUGCUUUCUCCUGAAGGCUAUUGCAUCACGGCCUUUGAGUCAACACAUUUCAGACCUCCCACAGAGAGAAGAGCUGGUUCUUUACCUGAGCAAGCCCCAGCACAAUAAGUUGGGUAGCUUUCCUCCAGGCAUUUUACUGAGGUCAUACAUGACAGUCACAAAUAUUUCUCAGAUUAUCAAAUCUUGUGGAAGACUGUGGCGUGUUGUUCAAAGAAUUUUUUCCUUUAAUUACAGUAAGGCAGAAGUUAGCUUAAAGGAAAUCAUACAAAGUGAUGUCUGAGUCACUUGACGAUGACUUCCUGCAUUAAAAAACAGAGGCACAAAAGAAGAAUCCCACCUCUGCUCUUUUUUUGUUCCAUGAGGCCUUUCUUGCAACACCAGCUAAAAAAGCAGCUUUCUGGGGAUCUUCCUGAAAUAGGGGAAUCCCCACUGGAAGCGGAAGAUUUUUCUAUGCUGUGAGGUGUUGGAGGAAAGGUCAAACUACUCGGAAACACAGCAGCAGAGGGCUUUGCUGACUGAUACAGUUUAGGAUAGGAUAGAAGGUACUCUGGAGAUGAAACAAAGAAUUAGAAAGCUUUGACUAAAUCCCCUGACUGUAUGUGAAAGCUACCACAAGGAAAUGGUCCCAACAUGUCUUGGUAGGGACUGUUAGCUGAUGAAAAUUCUCAGUUUCUGUCAAAGUAGCUAAAAAAACCCAACCCAAUGGAUAUGCUCUUUUCUCACAGAAGAGCACAUAAAGUAAUU